rnacentral:misc_RNA from 1 species
GUAAAAUCUACCUAUUUUACAUGUUGAUACGACUAUGUGUCUAUGUCUUAUGUCUGUGAUGUAUUGGUUUUUCCAUUUUAUAAUGGCAUAAGUGGCUGAAGUGGGGAAAAUCACCACAAUUACCGAGAUAUUUCCAUUUGUUAAGCGGUCAUCUCAUGCCUAAUUAGGCUUUGCAAAUGGAUGGUCCAAGAGCUGAGCAGCAGUGGGACGAUCGUCUGGAUUAACUUGCAGGCAUUGCAGGAUAAAAUCCUGUGAUAAUCCUGACAGAAAAUCAGGAACAGGAGGUGGCUCACCCCUUCCAAUCUUGUACAAAACCUGUGCAGGUUCCAAAUGAGAGUAUGGAGGUUUCCGAAUUAACAUUUCCAACACAGUGCAUCCGAGACUCCAUAUGUCUGCUGGAAGCCCAUACCCUCCUGUUCUUUUCAGGUUGACAACCUCCGGGGCCAUCCAACAUGGCGUUCCCUUGCAGGAUUUUAUGAGAUUAUUAAACUCAGUCACUUUUGCCAAUCCAAAAUCUGCAAGUUUCACAUUUCCUCCAACAUUCACCAAUAUAUUUGCACAUUUGAUGUCCCUAUGAAUUACGUUGUGCUCAUGGAGGUACUUCAAGCCAUGUAGUAUCUGUCUAGUGUAAGCAGCCACUUGGGAAUCCUUAAGAUGAUACCUGCUGUAAAUUUCUGUAAGAGAGCCAUUACUUACAAGCUCUAGAAAAAUAUAAAGCUUUGUUUCAUCCUUGUCUGUUCCAUAAUAUUGAACAAUGUUUGGAUGAUUGAAUUGGCUUAAUAAAGCAAUCUCCUGCUCUAUUUGGUAAAUACAUUGCUUUGCUUGAUUUUCUUGAUUUCCUUGAUCAAGCAAUUGAACUUCC